UACAGAGGGGGCUAGCGUUGUUCGGAAUUACUGGGCGUAAAGGGCGCGUAGGUGGCCUGUUAAGUCGAACGUGAAAUCCCCCGGGCUCAACCCGGGAACUGCGUCCGAGACUGGCAGGCUCGAAUCCGGGAGAGGGAUGUGGAAUCCAGGUGUAGCGGUGAAAUGCGCCAGAUAUCAGGAGGAACACCAAUUGCGAAGGCAGCUCGCUGGGACGUCACUGACGCCUGAGAC
rnacentral:rRNA from 1 species